rnacentral:lncRNA from 1 species
CAACAUCUAAACUGGUAUUUGACCAAACAUCUGGGCAUCAUAGCCUAGCCAAGUUGAAACAAAAAAUUCCAUCGCAAAGUGCUGAUGCUGUAUGAGAGGUUAGGAGAUUUAAACUCCACUCUAAUGGAAAUGACCCAUGGAGAUAGGUGCUGAAGUUUUUGGUCUCAAUAGCUGUCUCUAGGCUAAAAUGUCUUAGCUCUACGUUGCCGUUCUUUGAGAUACUAGUGUCUUGUGUUUAUAGAUUAAAUAGCUUGGCUGUAUAAGUAC